rnacentral:misc_RNA from 1 species
GAUGAAAAACGUAGCGAAAUGCGAUAAGUAAUGUGAAUUGCAGAAUUCAGUGAAUCAUCGAAUCUUUGAACGCACAUUGCGCCCGCCAGUAUUCUGGCGGGCAUGCCUGUUCGAGCGUCAUUACAACCCUCAGGCCCCCGGGCCUGGCGUUGGGGAUCGGCAGAAGCCCCCUGUGGGCACACGCCGUCCCUCAAAUACAGUGGCGGUCCCGCCGCAGCUUCCAUUGCGUAGUAGCUAACACCUCGCAACUGGAGAGCGGCGCGGCCAUGCCGUAAAACACCCAACUUCUGAAUGUUGACCUCGAAUCAGGUAGGAAUACCCGCUGAACUUAAGCAUAUCAAUAAGCGGAGGA